CUGGUGGGGUUCCCGAGCGGCCAAAGGGAGCAGACUGUAAAUCUGCCGUCAUCGACUUCGAAGGUUCGAAUCCUUCCCCAUGGGGC
rnacentral:tRNA from 1 species